AGUAUUUUAUGCAACAGUUGUAUAAGAAGGGUCAAAAAAUGCGAGUGGCGUGAGUUGCGAUGUGAGCCUUGGCGAACAUCGCAAUAAGAGACGCCACGAGCAUUUUUUGACCUAGUUAUACAACGUUGCAUACAAUACUUUUUCUACGACGACGUAAUUUUAAAUGAAACAAAAAUUUUCCAAUUUAUUUUCCAACGCGCGGGAAAAUGGCGGCAAAUGUAUACUUUUUUUUUAUAGUAUAUCUAUGGCACCAAACAAAGUAAAGGUGCCAGUUUCCAGGUCAAAAAAAAAAACAACAACAAUGCUUUUUUGGCGACAUUAUAGUACAGUUACACUUUGUAAACAAUGCUUUUAUAGGCCAUAGAGCGUACACUUUUUCAAAGAGUUUAAUUAUGUAUGUACUUAUAUUAGACUUUUUGGUUAUUUAAAUGCCAGAUUAAAGUAGAGGAGUAGAAAAAAACAUUUAAA